UACGAAGGGGGCUAGCGUUGUUCGGAAUUACUGGGCGUAAAGGGCGCGUAGGCGGCCGAUUAAGUUAGAUGUGAAAGUCCUGGGCUCAACCUGGGGACUGCAUUUAAUACUGGUUGGCUUGAAUUCGGGAGAGGAUAGCGGAAUUCCCAGUGUAGAGGUGAAAUUCGUAGAUAUUGGGAAGAACACCGGUGGCGAAGGCGGCAUCCUGGACCGACAUUGACGCUGAUGAGCGAAAGCUAGGGGAGCAAACGGG
rnacentral:rRNA from 1 species